CCUACGGGGGGCUGCAGUGGGGAAUAUUGCGCAAUGGGCGAAAGCCUGACGCAGCGACGCCGCGUGGGUGAUGAAGGCCUUCGGGUUGUAAAGCCCUGUCGGGUGGAACGAACGAUCUGGCGGCGAAUAACCGCCGGGUGUGACGGUACCACCGAAGGAAGCCCCGGCUAACUACGUGCCAGCAGCCGCGGUAAGACGUCGGGGGCGAGCGUCGUUCGGAUUGAGUGGGCGGAAAGGUCGCGUGGUUGUGAAAUCCCGCGGCUUAAGCGAGGUCCCGCAUCCGAUACUGUCUGGCUCGAGUCUAGGAGAGGAAAGCGGAAUUCCCAGUGUAGCGGUGAAAUGCGUAGAGAUUGGGAGGAACACCGGUGGCGAAGGCGGCUUUCCGGACUAGUACUGACGCUGAGGCGCGAAAGCUAGGGGAGCGAACGGGAUUAGAUACCCCUGUAGUC
rnacentral:rRNA from 1 species